CCCGAGAGUAAAGCGGCACUUCCAAGGGCACGAUUGCGCAUGCGCCUGGCUAAAUCCUUUUUCGCGGGAACAAGGAUACAUGGGACACCUGCACAAGCAUUGGAUUUUUGCCCUGCAACGUCUGAAAGCUACCACGCAGACACCUGCAGGACUCUCUCUCCCAGUAAGUCCCCUGGUCCCUGCCACCUCCCGCCCACCCUGUAUGGCAGCCGGCAUGCAAUGUGGAUUUCAUGGAGUGACACGGUGGAAUUUGUUACCAAGUCCCUUAAACAUACCACUGGUGCGUUACAAAAAUACACACUUCUAGCUCUAGUUACCCAGCUCACUAUGUAUUAA
rnacentral:lncRNA from 1 species